UACGUAGGGUGCGAGCGUUGUCCGGAUUUAUUGGGCGUAAAGAGCUCGUAGGCGGCUUGUCGCGUCGUCCGUGAAAACCUGCAGCUCAACUGCAGGCUUGCGGUCGAUACGGGCAGGCUAGAGUUCGGUAGGGGAGACUGGAAUUCCUGGUGUAGCGGUGAAAUGCGCAGGUAUCAGGAGGAACACCGGUGGCGAAGGCGGGUCUCUGAGCCGAUACUGACGCUGAGGAGCGAAAGCGUGGGGAGCGAACAGG
rnacentral:rRNA from 1 species